CAAACUGACUAUCUCAUUUUCCUUCAACUUCCUCUUGUGUGUGCACAAGUCUUUCAGGAAUUUUGCAUAUUUAGGAAUCUGUUUAAUUGCAUCAAGGAGAGGAAUGUUAACCGCACAUUUUCUGAAUACAUCUAAAAUCUCCUUGUCUUCCUCAACUGUCUUCUUGAUAUUUUUCUGCACCCUUUGAGGAAAAGGAAUUGGUGGCACAUAUACUCUUUCUUUUUCGGGUUCGAUCUCAAUUGUAACAGAAGGAGGUUCAGGAACAGAUGAUGAUGCAACGGUUUUCUUCUUCUUUUUCUCUGGAGCUGGUUCUGACACUCUUC
rnacentral:lncRNA from 1 species